rnacentral:rRNA from 1 species
CCUACGGGGGGCAGCAGUGGGGAAUAUUGCACAAUGGGGGAAACCCUGAUGCAGCGACGCCGCGUGAGUGAAGAAGUAAUUCGGUACGUAAAGCUCUAUCAGCAGGGAAGAAAAUGACGGUACCUGAGGAAGAAGCCCCGGCUAACUACGUGCCAGCAGCCGCGGUAACACGUAGGGGGCAAGCGUUAUCCGGAUUUACUGGGUGUAAAGGGAGCGUAGACGGUGCGCCAAGUCUGGAGUGAAAUGCCGCAGCUUAACUGCGGAACUGCUUUGGAAACUGGCGAACUAGAGUGCAGGAGGGGUAAGCGGAAUUCGUGGUGUAGCGGUGAAAUGCGUAGAUAUUAGGAGGAACACCGGUGGCGAAGGCGGCUUACUGGACCGUAACUGACGUUGAGGCUCGAAAGCGUGGGGAGCAAACAGGAUUAGAUACCCCUGUAGUC